rnacentral:tRNA from 1 species
GCGGGUGUAGCUCAGCUGGUAGAGCACGACCUUGCCAAGGUCGCUGUCGUGGGUUCGAGUCCCAUCACCCGCU